rnacentral:rRNA from 1 species
UACGAAGGGGGCUAGCGUUGUUCGGAAUUACUGGGCGUAAAGCGCGCGCAGGCGGCUAUUCAAGUCAGUGGUGAAAGCCCGGAGCUCAACUCCGGAACUGCCAUUGAAACUGUUUAGCUUGAGGAUGAGAGAGGUGAGUGGAAUUCCCAGUGUAGAGGUGAAAUUCGUAGAUAUUGGGAAGAACACCGGUGGCGAAGGCGGCUCACUGGCUCAUUACUGACGCUCAGGCGCGAUAGCGUGGGGAUCAAACAGG